rnacentral:lncRNA from 1 species
CAAUAUUUCUGUAAACAGAAUCUGUUCUUUCCUUUCCUCUGCUGCCACAGCAACAUUGUUGCACGGAACCUUGUCUGUGCCUGAUUGAUCUGCAUACCAUACCCUUACCACUCUCUCCCCUGACAUGAAAUUCGCAUUCUCCUCUGUUUUUCUGGGUUUGAAGCUACCGUCACCUGAGCAUCAGUGACCCGGGAGAACGGAGGCCAAGACUGGCCCUCCUGCAUCCCCGAGAACCCAGGAGCCUCCUCAGCUGCUCCAGUCAGAAGGUUGCAACAGUUCCUGCUCCAGUGGCCAGCUCCCCAGGACCUGCAAGGAGGAGCUCAGCAUCUGACCUGCAUUCGGUGACACAAGGAAGUCCCUCAGCCACUUAUUGGACUCAGCACCCUGAAAUGGAAACCCAACCAACCUAAAAUACAGAGUCCUGGCAGAGAUUUAGGAAGAAUGUCAAAGAGUAAUUAAAAAUAUGAAGCAGAUGACCUGAAAAAAAUGGAACGGUCAUUCUUGAGCUAGUAACU